rnacentral:misc_RNA from 1 species
GAAACCAUAUAGUUCCCACUGUAUAUGCAAGGGCAGUAAGUAAUUAUGAACUCCACACAGAUAAGAACAUCCAAUCUGGGAAUGGAAGAAUGGAUUUGCAAAAGAGGCAACAAGGACCUACUUCCAAAUCCAGCCUAUACUUUUGAUUUCGUUAAGUUUAGGCACUCCCGUACCUUGCAUCUCUCCUACUCCUGUUCACAUGCUGUGCAUGAGAGGAACCCGGGGUAGUGCACCCUUCCAAAGACGUUGUUCCAGUCACUUGAGGAUGCUGAUCAGUAGAGGGAAGUGCCAACCCACCUCUGCUCGUUCGACCAUUUUGGCCAAUGCCACCAGCAAUAUUAUCAAAGCCGUUUGCACUACCAGGCCACCCAGGCAAACUUCUUGAAUUCCUUGCCCAAGCAUUUUCAAAACCAUGUAGCUCCUCUUCAUUAAGAUUAUGCAAAGUUUGCAGUGUGUCCACCUUACCAUCAGGAUUCAGUUUCCUUGUUACUGAAUGACCCUUAUUAUGAA